UACGGAGGAUCCAAGCGUUAUCCGGAAUCAUUGGGUUUAAAGGGUCCGUAGGCGGGCCAUUAAGUCAGGGGUGAAAGUCUGCAGCUCAACUGUAGAAUUGCCCUUGAUACUGGUGGCCUUGAGUUAUAGUGAAGUAACUAGAAUAUGUAGUGUAGCGGUGAAAUGCAUAGAUAUUACAUAGAAUACCGAUUGCGAAGGCAGGUUACUAACUAUAUACUGACGCUGAUGGACGAAAGCGUGGGGAGCGAACAGG
rnacentral:rRNA from 1 species